UAGCACAGAGAGCUUGCUCUCGGGUGACGAGCGGCGGACGGUUGAGUAAUGUCUGGGAAACUGCCUGAUGGAGGGGGAUAACUACUGGAAACGGUAGCUAAUACCGCAUAACGUCGCAAGACCAAAGUGGGGGACCUUCGGGCCUCAUGCCAUCAGAUGUGCCCAGAUGGGAUUAGCUAGUAGGUGGGGUAAUGGCUCACCUAGGCGACGAUCCCUAGCUGGUCUGAGAGGAUGACCAGCCACACUGGGACUGAGACACGGCCCAGACUCCUACGGGAGGCAGCAGUGGGGAAUCUUCCGCAAUGGACGAAAGUCUGACGGAGCAACGCCGCGUGAGUGAUGACGGCCUUCGGGUUGUAAAGCUCUGUUAAUCGGGACGAAUGGUUCUUGUGCGAAUAGUGCGAGGAUUUGACGGUACCGGAAUAGAAAGCCACGGCUAACUACGUGCCAGCAGCCGCGGUAAUACGUAGGUGGCAAGCGUUGUCCGGAAUUAUUGGGCGUAAAGCGCGCGCAGGCGGAUUGGUCAGUCUGUCUUAAAAGUUCGGGGCUUAACCCCGUGAUGGGAUGGAAACUGCCAAUCUAGAGUAUCGGAGAGGAAAGUGGAAUUCCUAGUGUAGCGGUGAAAUGCGUAGAUAUUAGGAAGAACACCAGUGGCGAAGGCGACUUUCUGGACGAAAACUGACGCUGAGGCGCGAAAGCC
rnacentral:rRNA from 1 species